GGGCGAUUAGCUCAGCCGGUUUAGAGCGCCUGCCUUACAAGCAGGAGGUCGGCAGUUCGAAUCUGCCAUCGCCCACCG
rnacentral:tRNA from 1 species